GGAAUAUUGGUCAAUGGACGAGAGUCUGAACCAGCCAAGUAGCGUGAAGGAUGAAGGUCCUACGGAUUGUAAACUUCUUUUAUAAGGGAAUAAAACCUCCCACGUGUGGGGGCUUGUAUAUACCUUAUGAAUAAGCAUCGGCUAACUCCGUGCCAGCAGCCGCGGUAAUACGGAGGAUGCGAGCGUUAUCCGGAUUUAUUGGGUUUAAAGGGAGCGCAGACGGGUCGUUAAGUCAGCUGUGAAAGUUUGGGGCUCAACCUUAAAAUUGCAGUUGAUACUGGCGUCCUUGAGUGCGGUUGAGGUGUGCGGAAUUCGUGGUGUAGCGGUGAAAUGCUUAGAUAUCACGAAGAACUCCGAUUGCGAAGGCAGCACACUAAGCCGUAACUGACGUUCAUGCUCGAAAGUGUGGGUAUCAAACAGGAUUAGAUACCCCUG
rnacentral:rRNA from 1 species